rnacentral:rRNA from 1 species
UACGUAGGAGGCAAGCGUUGUCCGGAUUUACUGGGCGUAAAGCGCGCGCAGGCGGCAGUGCAAGUAAGGUGUGAAAUCUCCCUGCUCAACGGGGAGGGUGCAUUUUAGACUGCACAGCUAGAGGUCGGUAGAGGGGGGUGGAAUUGCUGGUGUAGCGGUGAAAUGCGUAGAGAUCAGCAGGAACACCCGUGGCGAAGGCGGCCCCCUGGGCCGUACCUGACGCUGAGGCGCGAAGGCUAGGGGAGCGAACGGGG